rnacentral:rRNA from 1 species
GAUGAACGCUGGCGGCGUGCCUAAUACAUGCAAGUCGAGCGAACAGACGAGGAGCUUGCUCCUCUGACGUUAGCGGCGGACGGGUGAGUAACACGUGGAUAACCUACCUAUAAGACUGGGAUAACUUCGGGAAACCGGAGCUAAUACCGGAUAAUAUAUUGAACCGCAUGGUUCAAUAGUGAAAGACGGUUUUGCUGUCCCUUAUAGAUGGAUCCGCGCCGCAUUAGCUAGUUGGUAAGGUAACGGCUUACCAAGGCAACGAUGCGUAGCCGACCUGAAAGGGUGAUCGGCCACACUGGAACUGAGACACGGUCCAGACUCCUACGGGAGGCAGCAGUAGGGAAUCUUCCGCAAUGGGCGAAAGCCUGACGGAGCAACGCCGCGUGAGUGAUGAAGGUCUUCGGAUCGUAAAACUCUGUUAUUAGGGAAGAACAAAUGUGUAAGUAACUAUGCACGUCUUGACGGUACCUAAUCAGAAAGCCACGGCUAACUACGUG